GAGCUGUUUCUUUACUUACAUCUGUACCUUUGUUGAAUUACAUUAUCAUAGUGCAAGUUGGUCAUACAAUUUUGAUGCAAAAGUGAACCUGAAAACAUGAUAAAAUGUGGACGUCUCUGGAGAAAGCUCAGUGUGUGGGGCCUGGUAGAUACAGACGAUACCUGAUACCCAAAUGCAACAAACCUUUCAGACUUGGAAUACAUCAUUUAUGGGAACAGGUAGUGUUCUCCAUAAAAAAAAACAGGGCUGGUCACCACGAGUUUCAGAUGCCAUUGUGGACAGGGUACAGCAGGCGUUUGCAAGGAGUUCUAUAAAAUCUGUAUGUACUGCAGCCAGGGAGUUGGAAAUGAGAAGAUCGACAUGGCACAAUGUCUUGCAUAAGAGGAGUUCCUGUUACAUAUACAGCACUUGACACUGCUUGUGAGAAAACAUUAUUAAUCAGCAUUGAUGGUGAAGUUGGUCCCUAGCACCCACUAGUGGGCGUCUCCACUUCCAUAGCAGGCAGUAGACAGUUGGACCCUAAAAUAUUUAUAUGAGGGUUUCACAAAACUUUGAAAAAAAUAUUUGGUCAUACAAUUUUGAUGCGAAAUGGAACCUGAAAACCUGCUAAAAUGUGGAUACCAGUGGAUAAAGCUCAAUGUGUGUGGCCUUGUAUAUACAGACGAUAUCAGAUACCGAAGUGAAAUGAUCCUUUCGGACUUGGAAUACAUCAUUUAUGGAAACAGUGCUCACAAGACAUUUACAGUGGGGUGUGCAGUUGAGAACAGUUCUCCAUCUACCCCUCAGUGCUGACCAGAAUUAUCCAAAGUGGAGCACUGUGCCAAUUCCAAGAAGCAGGCCAAAGAUGUCCUGGUAAGCAGCACAAUUUUCAAUGCUGCGAGUCAAACAAACAGCAAUGAAUGGGAGCAAUGAGGAUGACAAGUUGGGCGAACAUGUUGCAGCUGAGCUGAUAACAACUAAAAAUAGAAAAUUAAAUGCAGAGGCAAAGUGAAUGUUAUCAUGAAUGCCAUCAUGGGUGCAAUUCAGAAAGUUACUGAUUGUUAAUUUUUAAAUAAAAGAUUGAAAAU